CUACGGGGGGCAGCAGUAGGGAAUCUUAGACAAUGGGGGAAACCCUGAUCUAGCCAUGCCGCGUGAGUGAUGAAGGUCUUAGGGUUGUAAAGCUCUUUCGCUGGGGAAGAUAAUGACGGUACCCAGUAAAGAAACCCCGGCUAACUCCGUGCCAGCAGCCGCGGUAAUACGGAGGGGGUUAGCGUUGUUCGGAAUUACUGGGCGUAAAGCGCGCGUAGGCGGGCUAUUAAGUCAGGGGUGAAAUCCCGGGGCUCAACCCCGGAACUGCCUUUGAUACUGGUAGUCUUGAGUUCGAGAGAGGUGAGUGGAAUUCCGAGUGUAGAGGUGACAUUCGUAGAUAUUCGGAGGAACAUCAGUGGCGAAGGCGACUCACUGGCUCGAUACUGACGCUGAGGUGCGAAAGUGUGGGGAGCAAACAGGAUUAGAUACCCGAGUAGUC
rnacentral:rRNA from 1 species